CUACCCUCUCAAACCAAAUUACCCCAAUAGUUUAUAAACCAUACCUCUUGCUCAAAUUAUCCACUUAGCCUAUUCAUUUCAAUGCGACACACACUUCAAAACACCUUCCAAUGUUCUGCGCUCUAGCUCUAGUUCUAGUUGGUGAGCAAAGCGAGCAAGUUUGGAGAGCAUGACAGAGUAGUUCUGCCCUUAAAUGCUACGUGAGAGGGGAUACCCAGGCCAACAUAUUUUGACAGGCUAGUCGAGACACCAACUGUUAAAUGGAUAGUGAACCCAAGUGAAGCCAACAAACUGUGAAAUAAACUGUGACACUAGAACUGUGACACUAGAGCUACACUACAAUGAUAAAGCGAUGGCAAAACAUCAUCCAGGCAGGUUAAGGAUAGUGGUCUGACCUAACAUGCGCUAAUAAUGCCGAGCUAAUAUUAGCCAGACAUCAUAUCUUACUAAGUAGUAGCCAGGCGGGCAUCAACCAAGUUCAAUAGCAUUAUUAAAGAGCUUUCACUCUCACAGAGAGAACUUUCGCUAUGAAAAAGCUGUUCAGAACGGCGUGCCAAGUUGCAAGGCAGCUGCGAACAGAUGGCACGAGAAGGCAGCACAACACCACACUGUCACUAGCUUCAUUACAUGACAUUAAAUUCGUCCACUUCGUUACACGUGAAAGGAAAGAAUGGCCCAGCCCACGUGAGCGUCACCAUGGGAUUAAACCUCACACUUCCUCAUUGCCACUAUACCUUACCGACACACUGGGACCCGGAGAGACAGAAACACAGUCAUGGCAAUGUCAUCGCUUCUUCUAAUGGCAAUUCUGCACAUCGCCAUAGGUACUGUGCAAGGUGAAAGUGAAAGUGUUGUGAUACCUAUGAAUGAACUGAAAGCUUGCUUUGUGGAAAGAUCUUUGGCAUCGACAGGACAAUUUUGUCUCACAGAAGACUGUGAGAAUGGGCAGAUGAAAGACAUGUUUGUUCCGUGUCUGUUACGGGCAUAUGAUGGUCUUUACAGAGACUCUUCUUACCAUUUAAAGGGAGAUUCCAACGUCAGACGCAUGGCUCAUUGUGCAGUUACAAAGUGUGCUGACGCACUGAUGGACCAGAGGGAAGACAGUGGGGGACUCUUCUCAGGACUGGGGGAUGCCUUCUAUUCUUGCCUGAUUGCUAUGAGUAACUGUGUCAAAACGGCACCCAAAUUCAGACCCAAAACGGAACUAUAAGCAAGUUGGCCAAUGUCUGUAGCCUACCACUUUUUAUGUUCUCUAUACGAAAUCAACACAUUAAUGUUUAUAACUGCGAUUCCAAAAAACUUGAGAAAGGCCAUACGGGCCGAAACGUUGUUUUCUUAAUAAAUUGCAGCACGAUGGACAAGAGUGUGCGGUAUCUUCUUCUAAUAUAUUGCGAUUCCAUCAUAUGUAUCUGAGUCAGUUUAGACUGUUUGUACUGUUGUAGAAUUGUUUUACAAUAUUCAAGUUAAUCAAACAGUGAUGAGCAGCCCUGGGAGAUUGACAGAAAUGCUCUCCACAGACAGUUUCUGCCUUCUUGGAAUGCUUUGUUGAAAUUAGUUUGGAAUUAUUAACAUUUAAUUUACGAA